GCCGAAGUAACUCAGUUGGUAGAGCAACUGAUUCGUAAUCACCAAGCCAGCGGUUCAAUUCCGCUCUUCGGCU
rnacentral:tRNA from 1 species